rnacentral:rRNA from 1 species
GUUAGUGGGNUUNACUCACUAGUGGCGCAGCUAACGCUUUAAGCAUUCCGCCUGGNGAGUACGGUCGCAAGAUUAAAACUCAAAGGAAUUGANCGGGGGCCCGCACAAGCGGUGGAGCAUGUGGUUUAAUUCGACGCAACGCGCAGAACCUUACCAGCCCUUGACAUCCCGGUCGCGGGCUCCAGAGAUGGAGCUCUUCAGUUCGGCUGGACCGGAGCACAGGUGCUGCAUGGCUGUCGUCAGCUCGUGUCGUGAGAUGUUGGGUUAAGUCCCGCAACGAGCGCAACCCUCGCCCUUAGUUGCCAGCAUUCAGUUGGGCACUCUAGGGGGACUGCCGGUGAUAAGCCGAGAGGAAGGUGGGGAUGACGUCAAGUCCUCAUGGCCCUUACGGGCUGGGCUACACACGUGCUACAAUGGUGGUGACAGUGGGCAGCGAAGGAGCGAUCCUGAGCUAAUCUCCAAAAGCCAUCUCAGUUCGGAUUGCACUCUGCAACUCGAGUGCAUGAAGUUGGAAUCGCUAGUAAUCGCGGAUCAGCACGCCGCGGUGAAUACGUUCCCGGGCCUUGUACACACCGCCCGUCACACCAUGGGAGUUGGUUUUACCCGAAGGUAGUGCGCUAACCGNCAAGGAGGCAGCUAACCACGGUAGGGUCAGCGACUGGGGUGAAGUCGUAACAAGGUACC